rfam:Sus scrofa chromosome 10.
GGAUGUGAGGGUAAUCUGGCUGCGACAUCUGUCACCCCAUUGAUUGCCAGGGUUGAUUUGGCUGAUCUGGCUGGCUAGGCAUGUGUUCCCUUCCUCCCUCACUGCUCUGUGUGCGUCCCUCCCGAAGCUAUGUGCUCAGUAGAAGAGGACAACCAUCCCUGAUAGAGGACCGUUUUUUGGUCAAGGGUAUACAAGUAGCUGUGCUCCCCUGCUAGAACCUCCAAACAAGCUCUCAAAGACUAAAGGAUUUCCAUCUUGCCCUUUAAAGAACAUGUUUCCUAAAUAUUGCUCUAUUCAAUAUUUAACAUG